rnacentral:rRNA from 1 species
GAAUACCGGGUUAAAGGCAGUAGGUAUUGGUCCGAUAGUUAAAUGCGUUGGACUAGCCGAAGCUGAUAGUACUGAGCGUUUUCGGACAAUCAGAUAGUGAUCCUAAGGGCUUCCAAGUAAAACUUCUAGCGUUAAGCGUAUGAGUACCCGUACCGCAAACCGAUACAGGUGGUCGAGGAGAGAAUCCUAAGGUGCUCGAGUGAAUCAUGGUUAAGGAACUGCAAAAUGGCCCUGUAACUCCGGGAGAAGGGGCGCCCCCGGUGACAGGGGCCGCAGUGAAGAGGCCCAGGCGACUGUUUAACAAAAACACAUGGCUUUGCAAAGUUUCAAGACUAAGUAUAAGGCCUGACACCUGCCCGGUGCUGGAAGGUUAAGAGGGGAUGUCAUCGCAAGAGAAGCAUUGAAUCGAAGCCCCAGUAAACGGCGGCCGUAACAAUAACGGUCCUAAGGUAGCGAAAUUCCUUGUCGGGUAAGUUCCGACCUGCACGAAUGGUGUAACGAUCUGGGCGCUGUCUCAACCAUGAGCUCGGUGAAAUUGUAGUCGCGGUGAAGAUGCCGCGUACCCGCAACGGGACGGAAAGACCCCAUGCACCUUUACUGCAGCUUAGCAUUGGUACUGGACAAAUGAUGUGUAGGAUAGGUGGGAGGCUAUGAAGCGGGUUCGCCAGGAUCUGUGGAGCCACUGUUGAAAUACCACCCUUUGUUUGUUUGGUAUCUAACCCCGAUCGGGGGACAUUGCUUGGUGGGUAGUUUGACUGGGGUGGUCGCCUCCAAAAGGAUAACGGAGGCUUCCAAAGGUUCCCUCAGUACGCUUGGUAACCGUACGAGGAGUGCAAUAGCAUAAGGGAGCUUGACUGUAAGGCCGACAAGCCGAGCAGGGUGGAAACACGGGUAUAGUGAUCCGGCGGUUUUGAAUGGAAGAGCCGUCGCUCAAAGGAUAAAAGGUACGCUGGGAUAACAGGCUGAUCUCCCCCAAGAGCUCAUAUCGACGGGGAGGUUUGGCACCUCGAUGUCGGCUCGUCACAUCCUGGGGCUGGAGAAGGUCCCAAGGGUUCGGCUGUUCGCCGAUUAAAGUGGCACGCGAGCUGGGUUCAGAACGUCGUGAGACAGUUCGGUCCCUAUCUGUUGCGGGCGUGGGAAGUUUGCGAGGACCUGACCUUAGUACGAGAGGACCGGGUUGGACUGACCGCUGGUGUACCGGUUGUGAUGCCAAUUGCAUUGCCGGGUAGCUACGUCGGGAAGAGAUAAGCGCUGAAAGCAUCUAAGUGCGAAACUCCCCUCAAGAUGAGACUUCCAUAUAGGGCCGUCAGAGACGAUGACGUUGAUAGGCUGCAGGUGUAAAGUCAGCAAUGGCAUAGCCGAGCAGUACUAAUUGCCCAA